UCUACUAGGAAGACAUUUAUUGGAACCCUACGUAGACCCAUAUGAGAUUUGGAAAGAUAGGUUUAUGUAGGUGAUGAGCGCCCCUCACUUCCCUUUAUCAUAGACAUUGGAUCCCGAACUUAUCAAAUGGAUAGAUUCAAGCGCUCUUCCCCCCAUUGAACAAGAGGUGAUUGAUAUUUAUAGUUUCUUUCAGAAUUUUUCUUUGUUUUUU
rnacentral:lncRNA from 1 species